AACACUAUAGAAGCAUUCAUCCAUGUUAAAGCAGACAAAAAUUGAAACAAAAUUUUCUUUAUUUCUUUGAAGCUUAAGAAUUGCAAGGUUAAAGUAGAGAGAAAUUGAAACAAUUUUUUUUUAUUUCUUUGAAGCUUAAGAAUUACAAGACUCUGACUCAAUUAUAGGAUGCAUGGACUUAAAGUAUAAGGAUAUUGGAAGAGAAAAACCUCCCACACC
rnacentral:lncRNA from 1 species